AGUCGAGAAUCUUCGGCAAUGGGCGAAAGCCUGACCGAGCAAUGCCGCGUGCGGGAUGAAGGCCCUCGGGUUGUAAACCGCGAAAGUGAGGAGGAAGGGCCCGUGAAGAGCGGGCCUUGACCGAUCCACAGUAAGGACGGGCUAAGUUCGUGCCAGCAGCCGCGGUAACACGAACCGUCCAAACGUUAUUCGGAAUCAUUGGGCUUAAAGGGUGCGUAGGCGGCCCAUUAAGUCGGGUGUGAAAUCCUUCGGCUCAACCGAAGAAUUGCGCCCGAUACUGAUGGGCUUGAGGGAGACAGGGGUGAGCGGAACUGAUGGUGGAGCGGUGAAAUGCGUUGAUAUCAUCAGGAACACCGGUGGCGAAAGCGGCUCACUGGGUCUCUUCUGACGCUGAGGCACGAAAGCCAGGGUAGCGAA
rnacentral:rRNA from 1 species